AUCUAAAUGAUCUGAUACGACACCUGGUGUCAAAAAUGUGCACUACUCAGGAGCAUAGUGAAAGAUGUAAAUACUGUUGGUUGUACAGUGAAAUUUCGUUGUUUUAUGUUAAACCAACAAAAUUAAAUAAGUUGGUCCCAGUAUUCCUGAAAAAAUGACUGUUAACAAUACAAAUUGUUGUGUUUUUCGCUGCCAUAGCAGAAACAAUACAAACAGUGGGCUCUCUUUUCAUAAAUUCCCCAUAAAAAACAAGUCAUUUGUUUAAAUGUUAUGAACAGGUUAGGAAUCAGGGAAAAAAAUGGACAGAUAUAAGACUUGGAUGGUAAAGCUAAAUAUGGGAAAACCAGCAACAAAGCACAUGAAAGUGUGUUCACAUUGUAAUCAGGAUGAUUUCAUAUUGAGGAUUUGAUUUGAGGACCCAGGUGGGUUAGUUAGCUUCGUGCUUGCCCACUACACCUUGGGUCGUGGGUUCGAUUCCCGCCUUGCCUUUUGGGUGUUGUGUAUGUCCUGUUUCCUGUAAUUGGGCCUCCAGCUUGUUAGAGACAUCAUAGGAUAAAAUAAAUAAAAAUAAAAAUAUUACCUGAUGUAAGUAUCAUUACUAAAGAAUUACUACCUAGAAGGCCCAAAAAUCGAGACUUUAAAGCAGUCAGAAGUACAACAAUGAGAAAAUCUGAAGGUUACAUAAUUUCAAGUACAGAUAGUACUGAUGUAAAUUGCUUCGACAGCAGUCAGUUACAUCAAAAAACUGUUUCAACAUUAGAAAUGGAAACCGUGCAGGCUUUGUUACAUUUACAAAAUUCACAAAAAAAGGAUAAAAAUAUUCAAGUGACAAGUGGAGAUUUAGUGGCACCUUUUAUAAGUACACUUAAAUCUGAUAAUGAUUUAAAUACAAUGGCUGGAAUACCAUCCUUUCUGUUAUUUAAUGCUAUUGUUGCAAAUUGUGAGGAGAUGUUUGGAAAAUUCUGUAAUAAACAUAAAUUAAACUUGAAAGAACAUGUUCUGUUAACUUUUAUGAAACUGAAAA